rnacentral:rRNA from 1 species
CUAAUCAAAAAAGAGCAGGAGUGCUUUUCCAUCUAUUGCGAUGAUGGCUUUAUUAUCUGAAGGAUGACAGUCACAUUUAAAAAAUAUUUAAUCUAUAGAUCACAAUGUAGGGUCAUGGAAUAUAUGUAUACAACUAUUUUCUUCUUCACUUUUAAUUAUCGUAUUCAUUAUAAAACUAAGUUAAAAAAACUCCUGGAGAGUGAGUUAUUAAUAUAUUUUUAAAUAAAAUUAAGUUAUCAUUCAUCGAUGCACUUUAUAGAAUCAUCAAUGGCCAUAAUAGUACUAUUAACUCUCAAUUUUAUAUUUUUAUCAUCACUACAAAUAUUAACUGAAUUUAUAUCAAUGAUUUUUUUUAUUCUUAUCUUUUAUUUUAUUUACUGUUUCAAUGCAAUCAGCGGCAAGUUGGAGUGGAUUUAGAUUUUUCAGAUAUGGUCUUAUGAUCUUUCCCUUACUUAAUAAAUAGCAUGUAUAGGAUUCGGAAAGUCCAGCAUCUAUUUUGUACCUCCUUAUAUUAGAUAAGGAUGUGAGAAAUUCCUUGUUAUCAUUCGCAGCCAUAUAUGCCAGUCCGAGUUCAGCCUCUGCGGCCUUACAGGCAAAAUAGCUUAGUGAACACGCUUUUCGUCCCUCUUUAGUACUGGCUGAUAUUAGUGCCCAUAAUAUUGCUUUGUCUGCCAAAUCUAACUCUCUCUGAAAUUGUCUUGCAGUAACUGCACUCGCAGAAAUAGAGAAAAAAAUACAAUUGUUAAUAACCUUGCCAUAUUUUUUAGUCCGUAACUGUUAAUGUGCUAUCUGGCUCUGAAAAUAUUAACUCAUUUAAUUUUUGCAUGUCAUUAGAUAAACCAGUUAUACAACCCUCGGAACAGAAUCGAGGUCCUAAAGACGGACCAAAAGCGUUUAAACAACUAUGUAUUGAAAAUCCAUUGCGAUUAUAAGUUCCUGUAUUAACUGACGGUACUAAUCGUAUGCCGUCAGGUUUUCUAUUGCUUGCUCCCGGGUCAUUAACAUUCCAACUCCAUAGGCCUUGAGGUAUUGGCCAUCUAUUUAUAAAUGUGUACAACGGGGAUUAUUUUUACAUUGCAUAUUAUUACCAGAAGCGACUGGAAUACUAAGCACAUCAUAAAAAUUAUCAUCACAUGGUAUAUCUGAAACACACGAAAGCAUACCUAAAGUUAUGCUGUAUAAACAGGUGGCUAAUCCCAAGGGGAUCGAUUCCAGAAAUCGGGUUCAACGGAUACUGAUAAAAAUUCCACCUACCUUCCAGCCCAAUCGGAGCCUGAGUGUUAUACCGCCCCUGCUGCGGUUAAUGUUACCGAUAAUAGUUAUAGUACAGCCCUGAUUCAUCAUCAUACUACUGCUGCGGCAGUCUGAUGAACUAUUGCUUUUACGGAUUCUCCUUAUUCUUCCUUCUAUCCAUUCGCUUUAGCUUUUUGAGCUCUUGAAGUUUGCUCUUUGCAUCAAUAUUACCGUUAUUUACAGCGAAUUCCAUCCAAUAAAUAGCUCUAUUCAAAUUAUAAUAUUCUGAUAAUGUUGGAUUUGUAUCUGAUAAAAAGACCCCAUAAUUAAACUGCGCUGUAACAUUCCCCUGAGAUGCUGAUCUUUCCAAGAAUCGCAAUUGUUUGUAAAUGUUAUUUUUAGUAAAGCAGUAAUAUUGAUAUAGUCGAAAUGAUGCCUCUGAAUCACCAUGUUGUGAUUUAUACUUCAGUUUCAUCAACUUUUCUUCACUUAAAUCAUAGGUCAUUGCUGUAGACCCCAUCAUACUUUCGUUUUGUUUUAUUUUCACAUCAGCACCAUGCAAUUGACAAAUAAAAGAGAAAUAAAAAAAUAGUAACAAGCAUGCUUUCAUACAUCUACAACCUAUCUUAUAUCACUGGGUUUUUCUGGCGUACCUUGCAUAUUAGAAAUGGGGUGCCCAGAUGGCCCAUAUGUUAUCCAAUUACCAAGGUCUUUUGUUGUUAUAGCCAUUAGAUCCUUAUUUGAAUUAAGGUUCGUUGGUGCUGUUAGCACUGUAUCCAUUUUUAACUUACCAUUAGUUCCUCGCCCCCACCACGUCCAUAGCGUGUCAGGUCCUAUUACAUUUGUAUGUAACUCUUUAGCUAAUUGGCUAGCAAAUGAAUUUUGUCCUUUACCUGUAUUACAAGAAAAUAACCAAACUGUCAUCCCAUCUUUAUAAUUCCCAUCAAAUUUAAUUAGAUAUGCUAGAUCUUUAGCUGUCAUGAUACUGCGCGUUGCGGAUUCAAUAGAUGUGGGGGUACCAUGCCCCCCGAUUGUGAAAACGCCUGGGAUAUUAAUCUCAUCAGCUACAGAAUGGAUAAGAUCACUUUCGGGGUAUAAAUUUAUAUCAACCAAACCUUGCGGAUCUACAUUUAUGACCGGAUUCAACGGAUACUGAUAAAAAUUCCAUCCCCCCUUCAGCCCAAUCGGAUCCUGAGUGAUAUACCGCCCCUGCAGCGGGUCAUAAUAGCGGUGGCGGUUGUAAUACAGGCCGGACUCCUCAUCAUACUGCUGCCCCGGCAGCCGGAUAAGCUGCUGCAGCUGAUGCGGGUUCUCUUCAUUCAGCAGGUUGCCCCAUUCAUCAUAUUCUGCGCACCACGCUGUUGCCCCUUCCGUGCUGAUGAGCGCCAGCGGCAGGCCGCGAUGGUCGCAGUGGUACAGGUGGAUUUUUCGCGCCGGCGUGUACACCGGG